rnacentral:rRNA from 1 species
UACAGAGGUGGCAAGCGUUGUUCGGAAUUACUGGGCGUAAAGGGCGCGUAGGCGGUUCGAUAAGUCUCGCGUGAAAUCCCCCGGCUCAACUGGGGAACUGCGCGGGAAACUGUCGAGCUUGAGUUCGGGAGAGGGAAGCGGAAUUCCGGGUGUAGCGGUGAAAUGCGUAGAUAUCCGGAGGAACACCGGUGGCGAAGGCGGCUUCCUGGACCGACACUGACGCUGAGGCGCGAAAGCCAGGGGAGCAAAC